UACGUAGGGUGCAAGCGUUAAUCGGAAUUACUGGGCGUAAAGCGUCCGCAGGCGGUCGUGUAAGACAGAUGUGAAAUCCCUGGGCUCAACCUAGGAACUGCAUUUGUGACCGCACGGCUAGAGUACGGCAGAGGGGGAUGGAAUUCCGCGUGUAGCAGUGAAAUGCGAAGAUAUGCGGAGGAACACCGAUGGCGAAGGCAAUCCCCUGGGCCUGUACUGACGCUCAUGGACGAAAGCGUGGGGAGCAAACAGG
rnacentral:rRNA from 1 species